CCUACGGGAGGCAGCAGUGAGGAAUAUUGGUCAAUGGGCGAAAGCCUGACCCAGCAACGCCGCGUGAAGGAAGAAGGCUUUCGGGUUGUAAACUUCUUUUGACAGGGAAGAGCAGAAGACGGUACCUGUCGAAUAAGCCACGGCUAACUACGUGCCAGCAGCCGCGGUAAUACGUAGGUGGCAAGCGUUGUCCGGAUUUACUGGGUGGAAAGGGCGUGUAGCCGGGCUGACAAGUCAGAUGUGAAAUCCGGGGGCUCAACCCCCGAACUGCAUUUGAAACUGUUGGUCUUGAGUAUCGGAGAGGCAGGCGGAAUUCCUAGUGUAGCGGUGAAAUGCGUAGAUAUUAGGAGGAACACCAGUGGCGAAGGCGGCCUGCUGGACGACAACUGACGGUGAGGCGCGAAAGCGUGGGGAGCAAACAGGAUUAGAUACCCUGGUAGUC
rnacentral:rRNA from 1 species